rnacentral:rRNA from 1 species
CGUAGGGUGCGAGCGUUAAUCGGAAUUACUGGGCGUAAAGUGUGCGCAGGUGGCCGCGCAAGUCGAGUGUGAAAUCCCCGAGCUUAACUUGGGAAUUGCGCUCGAAACUACGUGGCUCGAGUGUGGCAGAGGAAGGUGGAAUUCCACGUGUAGCGGUGAAAUGCGUAGAGAUGUGGAGGAACACCGAUGGCGAAGGCAGCCUUCUGGGCCAACACUGACGCUCAUGCACGAAAGCGUGGGGAGCAAACAGGAUUAGAUACCCUGGUAGUCCACGCCCUAAACGAUGAUGACUAGUUGUGGGGGAGUUAAAUCCCUUAGUAACGCAGCUAACGCGUGAAGUCAUCCGCCUGGGGAGUACGGUCGCAAGAUUA